rnacentral:rRNA from 1 species
AACGCGAAGAACCUUACCAGGGCUUGACAUGGGGAGGACGCAGCCAGAGAUGGCUGUUCCCGCAAGGGCCUCCCACACAGGUGCUGCAUGGCUGUCGUCAGCUCGUGUCGUGAGAUGUUGGGUUAAGUCCCGCAACGAGCGCAACCCUCGCCUUCAGUUGCCAGCAGGUUUGGCUGGGCACUCUGAAGGAACUGCCGGUGACAAGCCGGAGGAAGGUGGGGAUGACGUCAAGUCCUCAUGGCCCUUAUGUCCUGGGCUACACACGUGCUACAAUGGCGGUGACAGCGGGAUGCCAGGUCGCAAGGCCGAGCCGAUCCCAAAAAGCCGUCUCAGUUCAGAUUGCACUCUGCAACUCGGGUGCAUGAAGGUGGAAUCGCUAGUAAUCGCGGAUCAGCACGCCGCGGUGAAUACGUUCCCGGGCCUUGUA